rnacentral:rRNA from 1 species
AGAGUUUGAUCAUGGCUCAGGAUGAACGCUGGCGGCGUGCUUAACACAUGCAAGUCGAACGAAGCUCCUGACUUCAAGUUUUCGGACAAGAAGGAGGGAUGACUUAGUGGCGGACGGGUGAGUAACGCGUGAGCAACCUGCCUCGGAGUGGGGGACAACAGCUGGAAACGGCUGCUAAUACCGCAUAAUAUUUAGUCAAGGCAUCUUGGUUAAAUCAAAGCUAAAUGUGCUCUGAGAUGGGCUCGCGUCUGAUUAGCUAGUUGGUGAGGUAACGGCUCACCAAGGCGACGGUCAGUAGCCGGACUGAGAGGUUGAACGGCCACAUUGGGACUGAGAUACGGCCCAGACUCCUACGGGAGGCAGCAGUGGGGAAUAUUGGUCAAUGGGGGAAACCCUGAACCAGCAACGCCGCGUGAAGGAAGAAGGCUUUCGGGUUGUAAACUUCUUUUAUCUGUGACGAUAGUGACGGUAACAGAUGAAUAAGCUACGGCUAACUACGUGCCAGCAGCCGCGGUAAUACGUAGGUAGCGAGCGUUAUCCGGAUUUACUGGGUGUAAAGGGCGCGUAGGCGGGGAUGCAAGUCAGAUGUGAAAAUUAUGGGCUUAACCCAUAACCUGCAUUUGAAACUGUAUUUCUUGAGUACUGGAGAGGCAGUCGGAAUUCCAUGUGUAGCGGUGAAAUGCGUAGAUAUAUGGAAGAACACCAGUGGCGAAGGCGGACUGCUGGACAGCAACUGACGCUGAGGCGCGAAAGCGUGGGGAGCAAACAGGAUUAGAUACCCUGGUAGUCCACGCCGUAAA